UCAAACUCUCUCCCCUUUCUAAGCAUCUAGCCAUGGGAGCCAUCGUCGGCCAUUGCGCUGACCGUCGGUCGCCGACGACGGCUUUGCCGCUCUCGGUGGCCAGAAAAUUUCGAAAAUCACUCUUUUUAAUCCCCUUUUUAGCAUAACCCUAGAUCUGAAGGCAAAAACCUAGAAAGAAAAAGGAAAAAAAAAAGAAAUAGAAAUAGAAGAAUUCAGCCGACACCCUUCUCUCCCUUUCAACCCCUCGUAUAUCCCUUUUUUGAACCCAAUCAAAAACCCUAAAGGGUUUCUCGGGUUUUCAUCAAUAGUGGGAGUCUUCGAUGGUGGUAUAUUGUGGGGAGAACAGGUAAAUUUCCACUCUUACUCUUCUUUUAUGCUUUAUUUAAAAUAAAUCUGUAAAAAAACUCAAAAUAAAAAUACCUUAUUUAAUUUUAAAUCUUGUUUUUGAUUAAUAAACUCCGUCCUCAUUACAAUCGGUUUGUGAUAGCUUUAUAGCCAAAAUACACUAUUCUAUUCUACUGUUUUUCGUACUGUUUGCGUGUUUCCAAGUGUUGACGGAAGCGAUGGGACUAGGCCAGGGGUGGUCAGUCCUUGGGCGUUGGACGUGCUGACACCACGUGAGGAGCGGCGCACAUGGGGGUGUUAGGGUUAGGUUUAUGAAAAAUUUUAAGUUUUUGGGCUAGGGUUUUUAGUUUCAGGCCUGUUUAAGGUUUGGGCUUGUUUUUAAAAAAAAUGAACUGUUAAUGGACUGUUUAAUGUAUUGGGCCCGGGCCGGGCAAAAUAGGCCUAUUACAAUAUUUUUUCAGUAGGAUCUACUUUUUUUUUAAAUUAAAGUUAUUUUUUUAUAGAUAUUGUAUCGAAGAUAAAUAAUCAAUUCUUCGUAUACGUUCAUUUUGAAGGGGUAAUUUUG
rnacentral:lncRNA from 1 species